rnacentral:rRNA from 1 species
UACGGAGGGUGCGAGCGUUAUCCGGAUUCACUGGGUUUAAAGGGUGCGUAGGUGGGCAUGUAAGUCAGUGGUGAAAUCUCCGUGCUUAACACGGAAACUGCCAUUGAUACUAUGUUUCUUGAAUUUUCUGGAGGUUAGCGGAAUAUGUCAUGUAGCGGUGAAAUGCUUAGAUAUGACAUAGAACACCGAUUGCGAAGGCAGCUAACUACAGGGAUAUUGACACUGAGGCACGAAAGCGUGGGGAUCAAACAGG